rnacentral:SRP_RNA from 1 species
GCCAGGCAUGGUGUUGCGUGCCUGUAAUCCCAGCUACUCAGGAGGCUGAGGCAGGAGAAUCACUUGAACCCAGGAGGCGGAGGUUGCAGUGAGCUGAGAUCACGCCACUGCACUUCAGCCUGGAUGACAGAGUGAGACUUUGUCUCAA